UUACCGAGUUUACAACUCCCAAACCCCUGUGAACAUAUCAAUUGUUGCCUCGGCGGAUCAGCCCGCUCCCGGUAAAACGGGACGGCCCGCCAGAGGACCCCUAAACUCUGUUUCUAUAUGUAACUUCUGAGUAAAACCAUAAAUAAAUCAAAACUUUCAACAACGGAUCUCUUGGUUCUGGCAUCGAUGAAGAACGCAGCAAAAUGCGAUAAGUAAUGUGAAUUGCAGAAUUCAGUGAAUCAUCGAAUCUUUGAACGCACAUUGCGCCCGCCAGUAUUCUGGCGGGCAUGCCUGUUCGAGCGUCAUUUCAACCCUCAAGCCCAGCUUGGUGUUGGGACUCGCGAGUCAAAUCGCGUUCCCCAAAUUGAUUGGCGGUCACGUCGAGCUUCCAUAGCGUAGUAGUAAAACCCUCGUUACUGGUAAUCGUCGCGGCCACGCCGUUAAACCCCAACUUCUGAAUGUUGACCUCGGAUCAGGUAGGAAUACCCGCUGAACUUAAGCAUAUCAAUAAGCGGAGGA
rnacentral:rRNA from 1 species